rnacentral:rRNA from 1 species
CAGCAGCCGCGGUAAUACGAAGGGGGCUAGCGUUGUUCGGAAUUACUGGGCGUAAAGCGCACGCAGGCGGCUCGAUAAAUUAGAAGUGAAAGCCUUGGGCUUAACCUGAGAAUUGCUUUUAAGACUGUCGAGCUAGAAUCCAGAAGAGGGUAGUGGAAUUCCGAGUGUAGAGGUGAAAUUCGUAGAUAUUCGGAAGAACACCAGUGGCGAAGGCGACUACCUGGUCUGGCAUUGACGCUCAUGUGCGAAAGCGUGGGGAGCAAACAGGAUUAGAUACCCCAGUAGUCCCUGUCUCUUAUAC